UACGGAGGGGGCUAGCGUUGUCCGGAAUUACUGGGCGUAAAGCGCACGUAGGCGGAUGACCAAGUUGGGGGUGAAAGCCCGGAGCUCAACUCCGGAAUUGCCUUCAAAACUGGUCAUCUCGAGUUCGGGAGAGGUGAGUGGAAUUCCUAGUGUAGAGGUGAAAUUCGUAGAUAUUAGGAAGAACACCAGUGGCGAAGGCGGCUCACUGGCCCGAUACUGACGCUGAGGUGCGAAAGCGUGGGGAGCAAACAGG
rnacentral:rRNA from 1 species